AUUGAACGCUGGCGGCAGGCCUAACACAUGCAAGUCGAACGGUAACGGGAAGAAGCUUGCUUCUUUGCUGACGAGUGGCGGCCGGGUGAGUAAUGUCUGGGAAACUGCCUGAUGGAGGGGGAUAACUACUGGAAACGGUAGCUAAUACCGCAUAACGUCGCAAGACCAAAGAGGGGGACCUUCGGGCCUCUUGCCAUCGGAUGUGCCCAGAUGGGAUUAGCUAGUAGGUGGGGUAACGGCUCACCUAGGCGACGAUCCCUAGCUGGUCUGAGAGGAUGACCAGCCACACUGGAACUGAGACACGGUCCAGACUCCUACGGGAGGCAGCAGUGGGGAAUAUUGCACAAUGGGCGCAAGCCUGAUGCAGCCAUGCCGCGUGUAUGAAGAAGGCCUUCGGGUUGUAAAGUACUUUCAGCGGGGAGGAAGGGAGUAAAGUUAAUACCUUUACUCAUUGACGUUACCCGCAGAAGAAGCACCGGCUAACUCCGUG
rnacentral:rRNA from 1 species